AUAUAAAAUUCUGAUUUAUACAAUUUAGGUGAAUUAUACAAAUUAAACAAAUAGCAAGAUCUGGAAAAAUUAUGGUUGUGCAAAACAAUAGCUAUAACAUUUAAUAUUUGCUAUUCUGCACAAUUUUUCCUUUUUAAUAUUUUAAAUUUUAUAUCAGAUCAAAACGAGACAAACAAAUUGAUACCUACCUCAAUAACUCCUCCUUAAAUCAUGGUCUUUUUUUUUUGGGUGCAACUUAAAGCAUGGUUCAAUUGCCCUUGAACUUGAACUCUUAAGUGAGGAUUCCAAUUUCUUCCCUUUAAUAUAUAU
rnacentral:lncRNA from 1 species